CGAUUAGGUAGUUGCUGGGGUAACGUCCCAACAAGCCGAUAAUCGGUACGGGUUGUGAGAGCAAGAGCCCGGAGAUGGAUUCUGAGACACGAAUCCAGGUCCUACGGGGCGCAGCAGGCGCGAAAACUUUACACUGCGCGAAAGCGCGAUAAGGGGACCUCGAGUGCGUGCGCAAAGCGUACGCUUUUCAGAUGCCUAAAAAGCAUCUGGAAUAAGGGCCGGGCAAGACCGGUGCCAGCCGCCGCGGUAACACCGGCGGCUCAAGUGGUGGCCGCUAUUAUUGGGCUUAAAGGGUCCGUAGCCGGACCAGUUAGUCCCUUGGGAAAUCUUACGGCUUAACCGUAAGGCUGCCAAUGGAUACUGCUGGUCUCGGGACCGGGAGAGGCAAGAGGUACCUCAGGGGUAGGAGUGAAAUCCUGUAAUCCUUGAGGGACCGCCAGUGGCGAAGGCGUCUUGCUAGAACGGGUCCGACGGUGAGGGACGAAAGCUAGGGGCACGAACCGGAUUAGAUACCCGGGUAGUCCUAGCCGUAAACGAUGCGAGCUAGGUGUCACGUGGAUUGCGAAUCCAUGUGGUGCCGAAGGGAAACCGUGAAGCUCGCCGCCUGGGAAGUACGGCCGCAAGGCUGAAACUUAAAGGAAUUGGCGGGGGAGCAC
rnacentral:rRNA from 1 species